rnacentral:rRNA from 1 species
GGACCCGCACAAGCGGUGGAUGAUGUGGAUUAAUUCGAUGCAACGCGAAAAACCUUACCUACGCUUGACAUGCCAGGAAGCUUGAAGAGAUUCGAGUGUGCCCGAAAGGGAACCUGGACACAGGUGCUGCAUGGCUGUCGUCAGCUCGUGUCGUGAGAUGUUGGGUUAAGUCCCGCAACGAGCGCAACCCUUAUCAUUAGUUGCUACGCAAGGGCACUCUAAUGAGACUGCCGGUGACAAACCGGAGGAAGGUGGGGAUGACGUCAAGUCCUCAUGGCCCUUAUGCGUAGGGCUUCACACGUCAUACAAUGGUCGGUACAGAGGGUCGCCAACCCGCGAGGGGGAGCCAAUCCCACAAAGCCGAUCGUAGUCCGGAUUGCAGUCUGCAACUCGACUGCAUGAAGUCGGAAUCGCUAGUAAUCGCGGAUCAGCAUGUCGCGGUGAAUACGUUCCCGGGUCUU